rnacentral:tRNA from 1 species
GGGGAUUUAGCUCAGUGGCAUAAGCACCUGCCUUGCAAGCAGGCAGUCAAGCGGGUGGUCGUGAGUUCGAUCCCCA